UUUCAAAGAAAGCAACUUGGUCAAGCAAUGGCUGUGACUCAUCCAAAUGGCUGGCACUGACAGAAGUACUAAGAGGCGCUGCAUGUGGUUCCAAGGUUAUAAACCAUCAUUGUGGAUGCCAUCCUGGAACGUGGUGCCAUAAAAAGAGAGAUCUUCAAACCCAUGGUAAAGUCUGCUGCCAACAGACCUGUCAUGGAUUCUACAAUGGACUGAUUCUAUUAACAU